UUUCCCUACGGGGGGCAGCAGUGAGGAAUAUUGGUCAAUGGACGCAAGUCUGAACCAGCCAUGCCGCGUGCAGGAAGACGGCUCUAUGAGUUGUAAACUGCUUUUGUACGAGGGUAAAUCCCGAUACGUGUAUCGGGUUGAAAGUAUCGUACGAAUAAGGAUCGGCUAACUCCGUGCCAGCAGCCGCGGUAAUACGGAGGAUUCAAGCGUUAUCCGGAUUUAUUGGGUUUAAAGGGUGCGUAGGCGGUCCGUUAAGUCAGCGGUAAAAUUGCGGGGCUCAACCCCGUCGAGCCGUUGAAACUGGC
rnacentral:rRNA from 1 species